rnacentral:rRNA from 1 species
GACGAACCGAGCGACCGUUAUUCGGAAUCACUGGGCGUAAAGGGCGCGUAGGUGGCCCGACAAGUCACUGGUGAAAGCUCGACGCUCAACGUCGAGUCGGCCAGUGAUACUGUUGGGCUGGAGCACUGUAGAGGCUCAUGGAAUUCCGGGUGUAGCGGUGGAAUGCGUAGAGAUCCGGAAGAACACCGGUGGCGAAGGCGGUGAGCUGGGCAGUAGCUGACACUGAGGCACGACAGCGUGGGGAGCAAACAGG